rnacentral:rRNA from 1 species
UACGAAGGGGGCUAGCGUUGUUCGGAAUUACUGGGCGUAAAGCGCGCGCAGGCGGCUAUCCAAGUCAGUGGUGAAAGCCCGGAGCUCAACUCCGGAACUGCCAUUGAAACUGUUUAGCUUGAGGAUGAGAGAGGUGAGUGGAAUUCCCAGUGUAGAGGUGAAAUUCGUAGAUAUUGGGAAGAACACCGGUGGCGAAGGCGGCUCACUGGCUCGUAACUGACGCUCAGGCGCGACAGCGUGGGGAUCGAAACAGG